CCCUUAGAUGUUCUGGGCUGCACGCGCGCUGCACUGAUACAGCCAAAGAGAUAUUUUUGCCUAUCGGCUGAGAGAAAUCUUGUGAAUCUGUAUCGUGAUGGGAACAAACGAUUGCAAUUAUUCGUUUCGAACGAGGAAUUCCUAGUAAGCGUGAGUCAUCAGCUCAUGCUGAUUACGUCCCUGCCCUUUGUACACACCGCCCGUCGCACCUACCGAUUGGAUGGUCCGGUGAAGCCUCGGGAUUGUGGUUCUUGCCGCUUUAUUGUGGCGUGACCGCGAGAACUUGUCUAAACCUUAUCAUCUAGAGGAAGGUGAAGUCGUAACA
rnacentral:rRNA from 1 species